rnacentral:rRNA from 1 species
UAGGGAAUCUUCCGCAAUGGGCGAAAGCCUGACGGAGCAACGCCGCGUGAGUGAUGAAGGCCUUCGGAUCGUAAAACUCUGUUAUUAGGGAAGAACAAAUGUGUAAGUAACUAUGCACGUCUUGACGGUACCUAAUCAGAAAGCCACGGCUAACUACGUGCCAGCAGCCGCGGUAAUACGUAGGGGGCAAGCGUUAUCCGGAAUUAUUGGGCGUAAAGCGCGCGUAGGCGGUUUUUUAAGUCUGAUGUGAAAGCCCACGGCUCAACCGUGGAGGGUCAUUGGAAACUGGAAAACUUGAGUGCAGAAGAGGAAAGUGGAAUUCCAUGUGUAGCGGUGAAAUGCGCAGAGAUAUGGAGGAACACCAGUGGCGAAGGCGACUUUCUGGUCUGUAACUGACGCUGAUGUGCGAAAGCGUGGGGAUCAAACAGG